UUCACGAUACGUGACCUUAUAAAAUACAGAAUCUCUAACGUGACCAAAUGAUGAAAAACAAAAAAAGGAAAAUUAGAAAAUAAAAUAAUUGAUUUCUCAAGUGUCAAUGAAAAGUAACCUGGAGAAGAUAACGAAAUCAAAUGUAAAGUGGCGCCACCUACUGAACUAGGUGAGACGUGGCGAGUAACAAGGCAAGCAUUUCCCGCCUGAGCUUAGCCACCUGAACAAGCCACUCACCUGAGGGUUCCUUACGCCUGAUUGUUCCUAAAUAUUGGGUUAACGAGUGUGACGUGAUUGGCACGGAGGCCGUCCGACUCGCCCGAGGGAGUCGCAUAUAGCAAACUUAUAAUCCUCGGGACGGAGAUGUAGAGGCAGGUGCGUACGAAGAUGAAGAGGCAGGUGCGUACGAAGAUGAGUACGGCGCCGACGUGAGUGACGACAGAACAACGGAACACUCGUGAACUACUGCUACGCUCCGAUAUAUGUGCCAGUGCCAAAGCGUCAGCAAACAUAGUGUUUUGCAAUGUGGUAAGUGUACGACCUACAGAAAAUGGUGUAUAAAACUGACUGUUGACAUAUGAUUCAAUAUUCGAUGCGGAAUCUUAAUUUAAGGUCACGAUUUAGAGGUAUUUCAAGGUGGAGGUAUUAGGUACCUGUAGGUAGGUUUUUUA